AAUGAACGUUGGCGGCGUGGAUUAGGCAUGCAAGUCGUGCGGAAAGGCUCCUUCGGGAGUACUCGAGCGGCGAAAGGGAGAGUAACGCGUGGAUAUCUACCCCCUGGACUGGGAUAGCGGCGGGAAACUGCCGGUAACACCAGAUAAUGUCUGCGGACCAAAGGUGUGAUUCCGCCGGGGGAUGAGUCCGCGUCCUAUUAGCUAGUUGGUGGGGUAAUGGCCCACCAAGGCAAAGAUGGGUACCGGGUGUGAGAGCAUGGCCCGGCUCACUGGGACUGAGACACUGCCCAGACACCUACAGGUGGCUGCAGUCGAGAGUCUUCGGCAAUGGGCGCAAUCCUGACCGAGCGACGCCGCGUGCGGGAUGAAGGCCUUCGGGUUGUAAACCGCUGUCAGAGGGGAGGAAAUGCAUGAGGGUUCUCUCUCAUGUUUGACCUAUCCUCAGAGGAAGUACGGGCUAAGUUCGUGCCAGCAGCCGCCGUAAAAC
rnacentral:rRNA from 1 species